ACUGAACGCUGGCGGCAGGCCUAACACAUGCAAGUCGAACGGUAACAGGAAGCAGCUUGCUGCUUUGCUGACGAGUGGCGGACGGGUGAGUAAUGUCUGGGAAACUGCCUGAUGGAGGGGGAUAACUACUGGAAACGGUAGCUAAUACCGCAUAACGUCGCAAGACCAAAGAGGGGGACCUUCGGGCCUCUUGCCAUCGGAUGUGCCCAGAUGGGAUUAGCUAGUAGGUGGGGUAACGGCUCACCUAGGCGACGAUCCCUAGCUGGUCUGAGGGGAUGACCAGACACGCUGGAAAUGAGACACGGUCCAGACUACUACGGGAGGCAGCAGUGGGGAAUAUUGCACAAUGGGCGCAAGCCUGAUGCAGCCAUGCCGCGUGUAUGAAGAAGGCCUUCGGGUUGUAAAGUACUUUCAGCGAGGAGGAAGGUGUUGAGGUUAAUAACCUCAGCAAUUGACGUUACUCGCAGAAGAAGCACCGGCUAACUCCGUGCCAGCAGCCGCCGUAAAAC
rnacentral:rRNA from 1 species